CAAUAGCGUAUAUUAAAGUUGUUGCAGUUAAAAAGCUCGUAGUCGCAUUUCUGGCGAGAGGAAUUGGUCCGACAUUUAUUGUGGGUACUCGAUUCUCUCUCGCCAUCCUUGAGUGGUCCGUUCUGGCAUUUAGUUGUCGGAGCGUCAGCCGCUCAUCGUUUACUGUGAGAAAAUUAGAGUGUUCAAAGCAGGCUUAUGCCGUUGAAUAUAUUAGCAUGGAAUAAUAAGAUAGGACCUCGGUGCUAUUUUGUUGGUUUGCGCACAGAGGUAAUGAUGAACAGGGACAGUUGGGGGUAUUUGUAUUUCGUUGUCAGAGGUGAAAUUCUUAGAUUUACGAAAGACAAACUACUGCGAAAGCAUUUACCAAGGAUGUUUUCAUUGAUCAAGAACGAAAGUAUGGGGAUCGAAGAUGAUUAGAUACCAU
rnacentral:rRNA from 1 species